AACUCUUUGGAGACAUCCGAUAAAAAUGGAAUGAUACAGAGAAGAUUAGCAUGGCCCCUGCGCAAGAAUGACAUGCACAAAUCGAGAA
rnacentral:snRNA from 1 species